UUCCCCUAGUAACGGCGAGUGAAGAGGGAAAAGCCCAAAUUUGUAAUCUGGCUCUUUCAGAGUCCGAGUUGUAAUUUGUAGAACUGUUUUCUGUGCUGGACCAUUUCUAAGUCUGUUGGAAAACAGCAUCAUUGAGGGUGAUAAUCCCGUUCAUGAUAUGGACUACCAGGGCAAUAUGAGGCAGUUUCUAAGAGUCGAGUUGUUUGGGAAUGCAGCUCAAAGUGGGUGGUAAAUUCCAUCUAAGGCUAAAUAUAGGUGAGAGACCGAUAGCAUACAAGUACCGUGAGGGAAAGAUGAAAAGAACUUUGGAAAGAGAGUUAACAGUGCGUGAAAUUGUUGUAAAAGAAACAUUUGAAGUUAGCCUUGUGCGUGCCAGUUCAGCUCUUUGUUAGGGUGUAUUCUGGCAAUGUCACGGACCAAUGUCAGUUUUUGGGUGCUGGAUAAGGGUCCCGGAAAUGUGGCAGCCUUGGCUGUGUUAUAGUCCGGGAUUUGGAUACAGUGCCUAGGACUGAGGAA
rnacentral:rRNA from 1 species